AACCGCCGUAUGCGGACCCGCUUGUACGGUGGUGUGAGAGGUCGGGGGCUAGGCGCCCCCUCCUACUCGAU
rnacentral:misc_RNA from 1 species